UAAAAUAUUUUUGGCGUUUCCAUUGCAACAAGUUUCACUUUGACUGAAAUUGGUGGUAGUGCUCUUUUCCGGAGCAGAGCUUAAAAUCUGUUGACUGUUUCAUCACCAAGUUUCAUGCAUAGGUAGGUCUAGUGGUGAACUGGUGCCCUUUGGUAGUUUU